UACGGAGGGGGCUAGCGUUGUCCGAAGUUACUGGGCGUAAAGCGCGCGUAGGCGGGUUGGUAAGUCCGCUGUGAAAGCCCGGAGCUCAACUCCGGAGGGUCGGUGGAUACUGCCAGUCUUGAAGGUGCUAGGGGGAGAUGGAAUUACCGGUGUAGCGGUGAAAUGCGUAGAUAUCGGUAGGAACACCAGUGGCGAAGGCGGUCUCCUGGGGCAUUCUUGACGCUGGGGCGCGAAAGCUGGGGGAGCGAACGGG
rnacentral:rRNA from 1 species